GCGGAGUUCCCUACCAGCCGGCGGCGCUCCCGAGCGUCGUCCCAGGCUCUGGCUGCGGUUCCCGCGCCCCUCGGCGUCCGGCUCCGCUCGCUGGAACUAGCCCCGACGGCUUCCCGAGCUACCUUUGCUGGUCGCGCCCACUGCUUCCCGCCGUCCUCCCUGUCCCUUCCAGUCCCACGAAAGGGGUGGGCACGGCCGGGGCAGCGCCUCCGAGACAGGAUGUUCACGUCCAAGUCGAACUCUGUGUCGCCAUCGCCGUCCCUGGAGCAGGCCGACGCGGACGCGCUGGACAUCAGCACCAAAGUGCAGCUCUACGGGGUUCUGUGGAAGCGGCCGUUCGGGAGAUCGUCGGCCAAGUGGUCCCGGCGGUUUUUUAUCAUCAAAGAAAGCUUUCUGCUUUACUACUCUGAGAGUGAAAGAAAGAGCUUUGAAACCAAUAAAUACUUCAAUAUACAUCCUAAGGGUGUCAUCCCACUGGGAGGCUGCCUAGUGGAGGCCAGAGAAGAGCCCAGCAUGCCCUAUGCCAUGAAGAUCUCACAUCAGGACUUCCAUGGGAAUGUCUUGUUGGCUGCUGAGUCUGAGUUUGAGCAGACACAAUGGCUGGAGAUGCUGCAGGAGUCUGGGAAGGUGACCUGGAAAAAUGCCCAGUUAGGAGAAGCUAUGAUCAAAAGCCUGGAGGCACAGGGGCUACAGCUGGCUAAGGAGAAGCAGGAAUAUUUAGACAAGCUGAUGGAGGAGACAGAAGAACUGUGCCUUCAGAGGGAGCAGAGGGAGGAGCUGGAGCGCCUGAACCAGGUGCUGGAGGCUGAGAAGCAGCAGUUCGAGGAGGUGGUGCAAGAGCUGCGAGUGGAGCAAGAGCAGAUCAAGAGGGAGCUAGAACUCACUGCACGAUGCCUCAAGGGUGUAGAACAGGAGAAGAAGGAGCUGAGGCACCUCACGGAGUCCUUACAGCACACGCUGGAGGAACUCUCCCUAGAGAAGAAGAAAACCCUGGAGAUGCUGGAGGAAGAUAAGAACCAGCCACAGCCAUCGGCCAAUCAGAACGAGCAGCCACUUGCCAGCGAUGGUCUCCAUAGCAACCUCAGGCAGAUCGAAGAGCGGAUGCAGGAGCUUUUGGCAGAGAAGCUUCUAGCAGAGAAGCGGAUGAAGGAGAAUGAGGAGCGCUCAAGGGCCCUGGAGGAGGAGCGAGAGUUCUACUCCAGCCAGUCUCAAGCCCUGCAGAACUCACUUCAGGAGCUGACCGCAGAGAAGCAGCAGGCUGAGCGGGAGCUCAAGGCUGAAGUGAAGGUGCGCAUGGACCUGGAGAGACGACUUCGAGAGGCAGAGGCAGCCUUGAGAAGCCUGGAACAAGGACUUAAUUCCAAGGUUCGGAACAAGGAGAAGGAAGAGAGGAUGCGGGCUGACGUGAGCCACCUGAAAAGGUUCUUCGAGGAAUGCAUCCGGAACGCAGAGCUGGAGGCCAAGAUGCCGGUCAUCAUGAAGAACUCCGUGUACAUCCAUAAGGCAGCCACUCGCCGCAUCAAAAGCUGCCGUUUCCACCGGCGCCGGUCCAGUACUUCCUGGAAUGACAUGAAGCCAUCUCAGUCCUUCAUGGCCUCCCAGCUAGAAGCCAACAACAUAGAAGAACUAAAGGAGGUGGCCAAGCGGCUAAGUCGAGACCAGCGCUUCCGGGAAUCCAUCUACCACAUCAUGGCCACCCAGCCUGGGGCCUCUGCGCUCCCUCGGGGUGGGAAGUGAUGGGAAUCCUCUACCACCUCCCAUCUUUCCUUGGUAGGGGAGGAGGGAAGACUGACUCCUCUUGGCUCCUCUUUGCCAGAGCACCACCGGGAAGGGGUACACGCAUUCUCAAAGGAGGUGAUACAUCCCUCUGCUUCACCUCGAGUCCCGACCUUGGAGAUCAGAAGGAAGUGUUGGAGUCCCUGGAACUGAAGUUAUGGAUGGUCUUGAACCACUAUUUGGGUGCUGGGAAUUGAAUCUGGGUCCUCUGGAAGAGUCACAAGUGUGCUCUUAACAACUGAGCCAUCUCUCCAGGCGGAAGUCCUAACCUUGGGUCUCCACUGGGUAGGUGGGUCCACACUGGAUAGGUGGGUUCACACUGAGUAGGUUGGUCCACACUGGAUAGGUGGGUUCACACUGAGUAGGUUGGUCCACACUGGGUAGGUGGGUCCACACUGGAUAGGUGGGUCCACACUGGGUUGGUGGGUCCACACUGGAUAGGUGGGUCCACACUGGAUAGAUGGGUCCACACUGGGUAGGUGGGUCCACACUGGGUGCUACCUGGCUAUCAUGAUGAGGCCUGACCGUGUGUAGUGUCCGUUGGUCAGGAAAAGAAAAUGUUUAUUCCACAAGGACAGGCAGGGCCUGCCCACUGGCUGAGGACUGAAAAGCUUCCCUGGUACCCACCAUACCCAUCUGUGACUCUGCUGCUCUGCCCCCUGGUCACAGGACACCCCCAAACUCUCUUUAUCCCUGUUCCUCUAUACAACUUUUGUCCAGGGCCCCUCACUUAUUCCCUGUCCUUGGAGAGGGAAGAGUAGGCCCUAAGACACAAUCCCAGGUUCACAGCACCCAUACCCUCUCUGCGGUAUCUGUUUCCUGGGGGCUGCCCUCCUCCUAUUUGCAGGCGAUCUUCUCCAUACACAGCCUCAACAACCUGUUAGAGGGAGCGGGAGAAGCGUGUGAUCCCACUCGGUUCUUUCCCAGCCUUGAUUGGGAGCCCUCGACUCUGGGGGGCUUUUCCCCUGAAGUCCGCACAGCUGGAUCAGGAGCGAGGCAGCCGAGGCAGCCGAGGCAGCCGAGGCUCCUGUAUUAUCCACAGUCAGGCAGAGCUAUAGCUGUCUCAGGCUGUUGUGACCCUGUUGCCCAGAGAUCACAGAGCUGUGUCUCCCUCCCAGCUGGCUCACCUUGCUGCCCCCACUCCCUGCAGCGGCUUCACUUAGUGAAUUAACACAGCCAUGAACCCACCACAGGGGAACUUGGGUCUGCAGUGAGCCAGUAGCCAUGGGUUGGUUCACCAUUGCCAUAGUGGCACUACUACCAGCCUGUAGAUUUUGUGGAAGACCACUACCUUUCAGGAGGCCAAGGACUGUGGAACGUGUUCCUCAUCUGUGGCUGUCUACUGGGCCCAUCCCUCACAAGUUGCCUGAGUCUAUCAUUCUUUCCAAACAAGAUGGGGGUGGGGGAGAGCUACGGCUCCGUGGUUAAGAACACUUGGUUCUCUUACAGAGGACCCAGAUUUGCUUCCUAGCACCCACAUGGUGUC